rnacentral:rRNA from 1 species
UACGUAGGGUGCGAGCGUUGUCCGGAAUUAUUGGGCGUAAAGGGCUCGUAGGCGGUUUGUCGCGUCGGGAGUGAAAUCCACUGGCUUAACUGGUGGCUUGCUUUCGAUACGGGCAGACUGGAGGUAUGCAGGGGAGAACGGAAUUCCAGGUGUAGCGGUGAAAUGCGUAGAUAUCUGGAGGAACACCGGUGGCGAAGGCGGCAUCCUGGACCGGCAUUGACGCUGAGGCGCGAAAGCCAGGGGAGCAAACGGG